rnacentral:lncRNA from 1 species
AUUUUGAUCCAGUUCUCAAGACCUCGAUAAGGACUCGUAGAGCUGCAAUUUGGGGCCGGCCCGCGAGCCCCGCCGGGUGCCAGACCGGAACGGUAGCAGGCCGGUUAAGCCCAGCCCGUGAAGGAAACCCGACCGACCCGAGCCCGUUACUUAUUGGUCACGGGUUAGGCAGAAUUUUCUAAGCCCGACCCAUUUCAACCCGUUAAUCGGCCCGAAUCGGCCUUCCAAAGCGGCCCAUCCCAUCUGGCCCAAUAGCCCGUGUGUUGGGCCCGUUAUCCAAGCCCGUCACUGUAGCAAAACUUUUAAAUGGUUGAGUGUGGUAGAAAUCGAACUCAAGACCUCCAACCCCAAACGCUCAAUCACUUGGACCAAUGCGGACACCCAACCACUGCACCAAACACUCAUUCGCUGAUAAAAAUAGAAUAUUUAAUAUAUAAACACAUAUUACACGUGUUAGUAAACUGCUUUAUCUCACACCCAACGGCUCUUUUGGUACUUUUUGAAUUUUUUGGACUUUUUUACCCCAAGAAAAAAAAAAAAAAAAAAAAAAAACAAAAACACCGCUAGUAUAACGGCUACUUUUGGGGUAAAAUAGUAAUUGGGAUAUAAAUGACCUAAAUACCCCACUCCAACAACUAUAAACGGCUAGUUUUUUGGGUAUUUUGGUCCAAUUAGCCCACAAAUUUUUUUAUAAAUACCUCUAAUCCUUCAUACUUCUUCCUCACUCAAGUCUUGCUCAUUCUACUAAUUCUCUACAACUCUCUCAAUACUUAAUACUCUCUAAUUAUUCGACUGCUUGGCAUUUCUCAAGUGUUGAAAAAGUGUUGCAGAAGUGUUGAAUCCCGACAUUUCAAGCAUUUCGGACUUGAGGUAUCUUAGUAUCAAUUGUUUUUUUAUCGUUGUUAUUUUUGUAUUGCAAUUUUACUUCAUAAAAAAAUGGAUCUAGUGAUUACAAUGUACAAAAUAUGGAAGAGGCUGAAUACGAUGACUUUGAGGUCUCGGUUGAUGAUAUUGGCAAAAUGGCCUCAAAUAAUCCGAUCGGCUCCUCCACCAACAUUCCGGACACGCCCACAUCUAGGACACCUGGUAGAAAAUUAGGAUCGACAGUUUGGCAACAUUUUAAUAUAAAUCACGAUUAUGAGCACGAAAAAAACAAGUUACUAAAACUAGUUGCAAAUAUGCGAAAAAAAUAUUAUUAGGCUGGGCAAUGGCAUGAGCCCACUAAAAAGCCACGCUGUUAAAUGUUUUUGAUCAAAAAUGUAGGCAAUUUAAGUACAUCACAGUCACAAAUAAACUUAUCCUGAAGGGGGGCGAGGGUAAUUUUCUUUUCCAAUGUUAGAAUCGAAUGAUGAGAAAAAGGGGUUAUAGCAAUUUACACGAACGUUGCAAAACCAACCUUUUAAUUUAGAGUUGAUCCGAGAUUUGAGACGUUUCUAACAAACUAUGUAAAUCCUUAAUUCCCGAUAAGUCUUAGGACUCCGAUUAGAAGAGAUUGCUUCAAAACUUUUAAAUCCAAAAAAACAUUUCAAAGUAAUAAUGAACUACUUACAAAACAAAUUUACUAUCUCCUGCACUUCUGAUAUGUGGAAAGGUAGGAAAUUCAACUUUAUUAUUAUGUUCUGACUGCACGAUUCCGCUUGGAAUCUACAAAAAAGAAUUAUGGUUUUCGCAAUACCCACAUACUGCCCAAAAUAUUUUUCUUCUAUUAUGAAUGUUGUACAGGAAAUUUGGUAUUCAAAAUAUAUUUCAAAUUACUUUGAUAAUCGAUUAAUAACACCGCCGCCAGCAAUUGAACUCUUUAAGCGUCCAAUUUAAAAACCCUAGAGGAUAACAAUAUAUAUAACGUCCUAGUGUUUGUCAUAUUUAUAAAUUUAAUUGUUAGGAUAGAUAAAAAAUUUUGAAGAUAAAAAUACAAAAUUAAAAAUGCCAUCACUAUAUUGUAUUUGAAUAAAAUUACUAAUGAAGUUCCAACAUGUUCUUUGAUUACUUGCUAUGCUGUUGUUUCAUAAAAACUAAACCUAAAAAAAAGAAAUAAAAACGGGCUCGGCCAAGCCCGGACUGGUACUGUAGCGUUCGGCUAACUGUAGGUUCUUGCUAUUGUGCCGGGUUUGGUAGAGCAUGGCCUAACGGUCUGGGCCAAGCCCGGACCGUAACUAGUUAGUGGGUCUGGCUAACUCGCCCCGUUGCCGGUUUGGCCCGUUACUGUGUGGUCGGGUAAGCCCAGACCCGGCCCAAUUUUGCAGCUCUAGGACGAUGUGUUUGGGUGGGGUGGGGGCUCAUAGAGAAUAAACAUCAACUUCCGUAUAUAGACCCUGUAAGUUUCUUAGCCUUCAAUUUCCCAAGGGGGUAGAUGAUCAGGUAUACCAGACAACGAACCAUUCUUCAAGGCUUUCGAAACAUAACUCUGGAAGCUGUUUGAAUUCUCACACAACUGUGCAUUCAAAAAGCCUCCAGUCCACAAUCUUCAAUUUUUCCCCUUUGUUAACAACUGUCCUCACAAGAUAUUAUAAACAACACAAAAGCCGUAACCAAAAACUUCAAAUUAAAUUUAAAAUAUUAAGAGCAUUCCGACUUUGUGUAAUUCCUAAGCUAUCUUCCGUUCAUUAACCCCGUAUAAUAUUGCUUGCUUUAUGAACACAGAAUACAAAAUUCCAAGUUUCGCAUAGCGGUUUGAGGUAAUCGAUGAUAACAUGGGGGUGAAACGCGAUCCAGUCCAGUCAGCCAAACUCCAAAAAGGGGGAAUAGGAGAAAUCUGAGUCGGUUUUCUUACCUUAUGCAGAGGACUAUAAAGCCGCACUAUUCGCGCGGCUUUUCAUUGCUAAUUGAGAAAAGCCCCAAGUCAAGAAACACACUACACAACAAAUACCAAUCUACAAUAAGUCAAACAGAAAAGUUUAUCAAACCAACUUUCUAUGACCAAUUUCUUUCCAAAGCAAUAUAAUUUUUCCCCAUGAGAUGAAUGACCAUUUCCUUGUAAAACUUGGGGAAUCUCCAUAAAGCUCUCUAGUUAUCUUGGGGGAAAUAUGGACAAUACACAAUGCCCACGACAAUAUCUCUACACCAACUAUGCCCUCAGACUACACAGCCUCACAUACAAUGACAGACGCAAGAUUUUAAAGGCGAAUGUACAUACAAAGCCCGAAAUUUGUAACCCUAGCGUAAAAUAUAAUACCAUCCGUAGCUAAUACUGUUCGAGAAAAUAAAGAAGUUAAUUUUAGAAAGUCUAUUAACAUCUGUAAAUUCCUAGGAUUAGGGAGAUUUGUGUAGGUAAUCCCUUGAUCAGGGGCUCUUUUUAUUUCUAGAAUUACCCUUUAUUAGGGGAAUCAUUUUUUACAUUCCUAUUCGUGCAGCUAGGGCUGUAUAUAUUACCCGCUGUUGUACGAUCAAAAAUGUAUGAAGAAAUUUUUUCUUUUCUCAGUAAUUUUCGUCCUUUUCUUCUACAAAUACUACUAUAAAGAUUGGGUAUUUUAUGGAAACUUUGGGUUGGCGAUUCGCCCCCCGCCGUCCCUGGUCCAUCCCUACUCAACUUAUAUAAUAUCCAAACUACGUCUUCCGGGAUCAAUCAACAAAACUAAAGCUCAUUCUAAAACUUUCAACCAACUUGCACCAAAAUUCAAACCGUAAUGGCCAAAUACUCAUAUGUCCUCGUUUGAUUCAAUAAAGCAACAUCCUAACAUCUCUGUAAAACCCUAGACAGGAAUUUUUGUGCGUUUAACGAAACUUAAAACAGAAAUUGAAAAGUUAUUAAAUAGAUUGAGAAAAGACACCUCUUUCAAGCAGAGAACGAGAGGGAUCUGUUGCUUCCUCGAGCAAGAGCCGUGACUUUUUCCCUUCUAGCUCUCUCUCUCUCUCUCUAUAGAAGCUUCAUCAAUUUGUGUAUUAUAUAGCUUUUAUUCAUAACCGAACCGGUUGAGCUGCUUCACCUAGCCGGUUCACGGUCCACUCGUUUGGUUUUUUAUUCAUAAUUGCUGUGUUAGGUAAAUUACACUUACUACCCAUGUGAUUUUUGACAAUUACAGUAACCAUCCUUCAGUUUUUAAAAUACAUACCCCUCCCAUUUAAGACUUAAAAGUGUGUUAUACUAUUUUUUUUGUUUUCCUUUGUGUUUUUUUUCUUCUCUUUAAGAAACAAAUCUGUUGCCAAAAUUUUAUUAAAUUUUCUUAAAAAAAAAAAACUUGAUCCCCUACCUUAUUGUUGAUAACUCACUAAUAAUAACCAUAAAAAAAUCCUUAACAAAAAAGCACAAAUUAACUUACCAAUCCUUGACAAAAACAGAUAUAGAAGACAUAAACACCUCAUAUUGGUGUAAGGGUUAAAAUAAUCCUUUCUUGCUGUUCAUAUUUGGUAUUUCGAAUUAAAUAAAGAUAUAAAGUACAAUGGUCCCUUUUCGUAUGCGCUCUUAAAGAAGAUCCAAAAGAACCUCAAAGGGGAGCUACGACCUUUCAAUUAAUUUCGCAAAAAAAGCUUUUUUUAAUGCGCAUAAUUAAACUUUGUACUAGUUUUUUUACCAAACUUUACUUUGGCUCCGUUGUUAAUGCUUAAAAGUCAAGUUUUUUUUUUUAAAAAAUUUUUUUUUUUUGCUAUCAAAAAGUCAAAAUUUUUUGAUUUUUUUACUUUUAUGGCUUUACUUUAGUUAAAAUUAAGCAAAAAAUAAAAAUAAAAAAGCCAACUCUGAUUGGCUUUUUUGCUUGUUUUAAGUAAAAAAAGCAGAAAAAAGCUAAAAAAAACUGGUGUCAAACGGAGCCUUUAGCUUUUUUUAAGCCAGAAGCUGAAAUUCAACCCUGCCAAAGAUGCUCAUAAUGGGGGUUGUGAUUGGCGGUGGCAUUGUAGUCGUUGUUAUGGUGUGGGAGGUGAUGGUGGCUGACAAAGGAAUGUUGUUUGAGAUUCGACUUUCAUCCGUGUGUUAUCAGUUUUUGUGUAAGGGCAUAUUAUAUGGCAUCAAACUCAAACUAAUCCUAUGUGUGGCCUUGGGAAGGUAAUAAGAUUUAAUUUGAAGCUUG